rnacentral:rRNA from 1 species
AAGCGUGGGGAGCGAACAGGAUUAGAUACCCUGGUAGUCCACGCCGUAAACGUUGGGCGCUAGAUGUGGGUCACAUUCCACGUGAUCCGUGUCGCAGCUAACGCAUUAAGCGCCCCGCCUGGGGAGUACGGCCGCAAGGCUAAAACUCAAAGGAAUUGACGGGGGCCCGCACAAGCGGCGGAGCAUGCGGAUUAAUUCGAUGCAACGCGAAGAACCUUACCAAGACUUGACAUAUUCAGGAAAACUGCAGAAAUGUAGUCCCCCGCAAGGGUCUGUUUACAGGUGGUGCAUGGUUGUCGUCAGCUCGUGUCGUGAGAUGUUGGGUUAAGUCCCGCAACGAGCGCAACCCUCGUCCUAUGUUGCCAGCACGUUAUGGUGGGAACUCAUGGGAGACUGCCGGGGUCAACUCGGAGGAAGGUGGGGAUGACGUCAAAUCAUCAUGCCCCUUAUGUCUUGGGCUUCACGCAUGCUACAAUGGCCGGUACAAAGGGCUGCAAUACCGCAAGGUGGAGCGAAUCCCAAAAAGCCGGUCUCAGUUCGGAUUGAGGUCUGCAACUCGACCUCAUGAAGUCGGAGUCGCUAGUAAUCGCAGAUCAGCAACGCUGCGGUGAUACGUUCCCGGGCCUUGUACACACCGCCCGUCAAGUCACGAAAGUCGGUAACACCCGAAGCCGGUGGCCUAACCGUAAGGAAG